UGAGGAAUAUUGGACAAUGGGCGCAAGCCUGAUCCAGCCAUGCCGCGUACAGGAAGAAGUAUCUAUGGUGUGUAAACUGCUUUUGUACGGGAAGAAACACUCCUUCGUGAAGGAGCUUGACGGUACCGUAAGAAUAAGGAUCGGCUAACUCCGUGCCAGCAGCCGCGGUAAUACGGAGGAUCCAAGCGUUAUCCGGAAUCAUUGGGUUUAAAGGGUCCGUAGGCGGUUUAGUAAGUCAGUGGUGAAAGCCCAUCGCUCAACGAUGGAACGGCCAUUGAUACUGCUAGACUUGAAUUAUUAGGAAGUAACUAGAAUAUGUGGUGUAGCGGUGAAAUGCUUAGAUAUUACAUGGAAUACCAAUCGCGAAGGCAGGUUACUACUAAUGGAUUGACGCUCAUGCACGAAAGCGUGGGGAGCAAACA
rnacentral:rRNA from 1 species